ensembl:lncRNA
AGCCUGCUAUCCUUUCUCCUGCCAACCACCCUCGUAAAUGACUGGUAAAAAUUGGGUUAUAGGAUUCAGGUAAGGAAAGAGAGAGAGGAGGUCAGUGGGGCUGUGUGCUAAAUACCCACAGCUACUCAGGGAGAGUGCAUAACAUCCUGAGAGUGGUGGUGGUGGUAAUGUGCCUGUCCAGCUCUGAGCUCAGUGCUAUACUUACAGUACCUCACUAAAGGUCUGAGAGGAUGCUGCCUCUCCUGGCUUGUGUGAAAGUGCUUGAUUUGAGAUGAUGAAAAGGCCAUUGCAAUUAGCAAGCUCUGGUUCGUUUUGCCAUAUCUAGAAUGGAGUGGUAGAGACAGUGGCAGCUGCCAAUAACUUCAGCUUACAAAGAACAGACAAUUAGGCCGGGGCCUGUUACCACCGCUAGUCCCACACCUCCAGACCUUUGCACUGGCCCUAGCCCUGAGCACCUGCAGGUCAAUAGGUAAUGAUACUGUGUGGAGCAACAGCUUGGAACAGAGGUUAAUCAAACCACAACCACACACGAGUUGCAUCCAGCUUAUUAUUCUCACCACAAAGGCCAAGAGGGUGAGAGGAAGAAAGGGAGGAAAAAUGGCAUCAGCGAGGGAAUGAUCUCACUUACACGGUUCUCAGGUUUGCACUGGCAUCCCAGGAUUGCUUUAAAACACAUAUAUUUUUACUUUUAAUCUUUACCUAUUUAACUUUAGAGUUGUUGCAUUUGACCCAUUUUCUGUACAAUUUACGUACUGUUGUCCUUUCUUUUUUCCUUUUUUUUUUUUUUGAGUGUUUUCUCUUUUCCCAUGUUUUCUUUACAUCCCUGUCUGUCACUCUCUGCUAAGCUAUGGCCCAGAUCCAAACCUGACCCUACACAACAGUGGUUGUCAACAGUUUCAUUUGAAGGGUACAGAAGGAAUUUUGGAAGCCCUUUCUCUGAUAGAGCUUGAAGCUUUCAAUCAGCAUCUGUGGUGAUUUAUACUGCUGUCAGAUUGAUGUGUCUGGUCUAUCCUGUCCAUCACUUGCUAAAAAUAUGUCUAUUCCGUUUCAAUUGCAUUCAUGUGUUUACAUAGAUAAGGAAAAAGAUUACAAAACCCCCAAAUAUCUUUAUUCUUUUCUCCUGUCCUCAUUUCUAAUAAAAAAAAAUUAUAUAUUAUUAAGAAAAUUAUGAACUUUAUAAAUCCCUUUCCCAAAGCAGGCACAAUGUGCUUUUAAUUAAAAUUUAGAUAAAUAAGACUAUAUUGAAAUAAAUUAACUCUUAUAGAACACCUAGAAUGUUUUCUGAGGAUAUUACAGGUCAUUUAUAAUUUCAUUUCAUUUAAUUUUUUUCAAAGUUUCAUUGUAAUGAUGCAAGUCAUGUUAUCAUAC